rnacentral:rRNA from 1 species
AGCGUUUAGUUGCGGCUCUGGACAGGGCUGCGGUAAAAGCUGAGCGCUAAGACCUAUUGAUUGGUUUAGUGGCGGACGGGUGAGUAACGCGUGAGCAAUCUGCCUCUUAGAGUGGGACAACGGAGGGAAACUUCCGCUAAUACCGCAUAAAAUCGCUGAAUCGCAUGGUUUGGCGAUCAAAGGAGCAAUCCGCUGAGAGAUGAGCUCGCGUCCGAUUAGAUAGUUGGUAGGGUAACGGCCUACCAAGUCUGCGAUCGGUAGCCGGACUGAGAGGUUGAACGGCCACAUUGGGACUGAGAUACGGCCCAGACUCCUACGGGAGGCAGCAGUAGGGAAUAUUGCGCAAUGGGGGAAACCCUGACGCAGCAACGCCGCGUGAAGGAAGAAGGCAUUCGUGUUGUAAACUUCUUUUGAGAGGGACGAUAAUGACGGUACCUCUUGAAUAAGCUACGGCUAACUACGUGCCAGCAGCCGCGGUAAUACGUAGGUGGCAAGCGUUGUCCGGAUUUACUGGGUGUAAAGGGCGCGUAGGCGGGAUUGCAAGUCAGACGUGAAAACUCCGGGCUUAACUCGGAGCGUGCGUUUGAAACUGCAGUUCUUGAGUGUUGGAGAGGCAGACGGAAUUCCCGAGUGUAGCGGUGGAAUGCGUAGAUAUUCGGAGGAACACCGGUGGCGAAGGCGGUCUGCUGGACAAUAACUGACGCUGAGGCGCGAAAGCGUGGGGAGCAAACAGGAUUAGAUACCCUGGUAGUCCACGCUGUAAACGAUGAUACUAGGUGGUGGGGGGGGACUGACCCUCUCCGUGCCGGAGUUAACACAAUAAGUAUUCCACCUGGGGAGUACGGCCGCAAGUGAAACUCAAGGGAAUGACGGGCCCCGCACAGCAGUGAUUAUGUGGUUUAUCGAGCACGCGAAACCUUACCGGGUUGACAUCCACU